UUGGAGGGCAAGUCUGGUGCCAGCAGCCGCGGUAAUUCCAGCUCCAAUAGCGUAUAUUAAAGUUGUUGUGGUUAAAAAGCUCGUAGUUGAACCUUGGGCCUGGCUGGCCGGUCCGCCUCACCGCGUGUACUGGUUCCGGCCGGGCCUUUCCCUCUGUGGAACCCCAUGCCCUUCACUGGGUGUGGCGGGGAAACAGGACUUUUACUGUGAAAAAAUUAGAGUGCUCCAGGCAGGCCUAUGCUCGAAUACAUUAGCAUGGAAUAAUAGAAUAGGA
rnacentral:rRNA from 1 species